UGUGCUGGCUGUGCGUGGAACCACACGAGGGUUCUCCUCUGCAUCACAGCCGUCCAUCUGAGGCUUCUCUCAUGAUGGUGAGCCGUUGACUGGAUAUUUCGGAGGUCAACAAUUUAUUUGCUUCCAAAAUGGUAAUGAUGUGCCCAAUUUAUUAUUGGCCAUUAAUCGUAAUUAAAGAUAAUAUUUUUUUGGUAAAAUGGCUCAGCCAUUAAUAUCGGAGGAACAGUUUCGUAAAAGGAAAUCGAACUGAUCAACUCCAAUCAUUCACCUUCACACAUCAUCUCAUUCUGCGCACAUCGCGAGGAAUUUUAGAUGCUUUGUAAAGGUGGAAGAUUCGUGUGAUCGAGUGUGAAUUUUUAGUAUAUGAAGAUGGAGGAUGCAGAAUCCCCAAUUGUCGAGCAGAUUCCACACCUGCAAGCACGAGAGAGGGAGUAAGGAUGAGAUGCGACGACAACGAUAUCAAAGCUUUCUGGCCUUCUCAUCGGAAGAAGACGGUCACAAAGCAAACACUAGGAUCCACAUGAUGCAUCAGAAGGAGAGAAACACCUUGUGCUGAUGAGCCCAAAGGCCCUUGACUUAUGCAUUCAAAGCGCUUGAUAUAUUGCCCCACAUAGCUCAAAGAGAGGAACAGCACCAACACCUCGGAGCUAGCCAAAACCACGGCUUGCAACAAGGUGCAGCUGAAGAGGAUAGGGGUCAAAUCUAUGAACUAGCCACAUCCGGGCACUUAAUCUAUUCAGAACAUUGAUGACAUGUUUCACAAUCAUUCAAGGACAAUGGAAGGUUUGAUUGGGAGGUACAAGGUGGUGUACUUGAGAAGUUCAUCCAACUGCAGGUGGUGAGACAAACUGACUCUUUGGGUAAUUGAUAGCAUGUUAAAUAUGAUUUAUAGACAAUGAUUCAAUUGUGUCAUAAACAGCAAGGCUCUUUGAAAUACAUAAGCUAUAUGUUCCAUCUUCAUCCAUUAGCAACAUAGAUAGCAGAUAUCUUUUGCUUCUUAUGACUGUCUGUCAUCACAAAGAGAGAACCAUAGAACUGCUUUGAGGUUAUGGCUUCAGUUCUAAUGGUUUGACUUUGUCUUCAUUUCACCAGGAACCUCAAUUACAAGAGUGACAAGGUAAUUACAAAGUCAGAUGCAUCGGUGCACAUCAUAUACAGGUACAUUUCUAUGUUGUUAUUUAUAAAUAUACUUGUAUUGCUAUACAAAUCUAGAACACAUCCGAAAAGGCUGUGAUCAUUUGCAAAUAAUUCUUUUUUACUAUUCUCUAAAAGAAAGGAUAUACAAAUUAAUGUCUUGGAAUCAUUAACUACAUUUUCUAUCUUUUUUCAGAACUGUGUUCCUAUCUAAUUUAUUAUACUGACAGUCCAGGUAAUUAUCAUUACCCACAAAUUCAGUUUCUGCAUUGAGAGUAUUCAAUUAGUUUGAUAAGUUCACCAUGCAUUAGCUUGAGUUUUUCUUUUCUUUUCCCUUUGAACUGUCAUACAGAAAUCAUCAAGGUUCAUUUUGCGCAAUUGAAUAGAACAAUAUUUAUUUCGUAUGUGUGUCAAAAUAAGAACUGCAUUAUUAAUAUUCUCUUUUACGAGUAUUUUGAGUUGUGCAGCUUGUCAGCCAAGUUCUUGUUUCUUAUAAAAAGGAUUAUUUCUUUUUUUGCUCAAGGACAAUCAAUGUAUUAUUCAUACAGGCACAUAUAAUGCAGUUCAUGGUUAACAGAAGAGUGACAGCUAGAUUUCCAUUUAAUGAAACAGAGUUUGGUCUCCCUAUACUUGUAGUGUUUGAUGAUGAGUCCCUACAGAAUUAUUAUCUUCAUCUGAAUGUUGUAUUUCUUUUCUUCUUUAUGCAUGCUUCCAAUACAUAUUUCUGAUUUUUUUUUUUGCCUCUCAAAGAAGCUAUCUGUAAGCAUAUCAAUUAAUCUAAAAAUAUGUACAUAGUCGCCAUGACAUUUUGCAUCUAUAAUUGAAAGAUAUGUUUUAUGACAGAUACAUUGGAGGGGAACUGCUGAAUGUAUGAAACCAGAUGAAAUGCAUAUAUCUUGGAAAGGCAUCUCAACAUGAAUGUGUCAUAUCCAUGAUGCAAAGGUCACUUUGGAAAAGAUUUGAUUUGUCAUAGUUGCAUGUCUUCCCUACUCUUCAUCUCACAACUUGUGGGUUAAUAUUAUCCUACACUCUGUUUUCCGGUUCAUCUUUAAGCAAGGCCAUCUUUAGUCAACCUCAUCAUGACUUCUGGCAACUGAGCUGGUCCAUGUGGAUUUCCUUGAAGUCGUUGGCAAAGGCAGACCUCUUUCUUCAUGUUCCAUCAAGAAAUCUUGUUGACAGAGUAAGCUUACAAGCCAAUAAGGAAUAAAAGAACAAGGAAUGAUAAAAGGGUUGACUGAUUAGAGAUAAAGAUAAAGAACAACAAAGGGCUAUAUACAAAAAGAUUCCAUAAGCAGAUUUGUAUACACAAGUAUCGCCUAUCGAUGAAGUCAAACUGCCCCUGAUCAACUUGAAGAGUGUUGCAACUGUUUCAGUAGGCAUAUGAACAUAUGCUUUCAGCAUCUUCAAUAGAUACCUUUGCAUAGA